rnacentral:snoRNA from 1 species
CCCCUCUCAGGGUCACACCUGGAGAGUUCCCAGUACUCUACCAGUCUUGACUACAGAAGGGAUAGUCAGGCAGAGGCCUGACCAUUCCAUUCCCAGCUUAAGCAGUGGCUAGCGAGUGGAAGACAAUCUGCUACAAGU